CCCUUAGAUGUUCUGGGCCGCACGCGUGCUACACUGAGUGGAUCAGCGGGUCAGGUUGCGCGAAAGUGUUUCCUAAUCUUGAAAUCCGCUCGUGAUGGGGAUUGACGGUUGCAAUUUUCCGUCAUGAACGAGGAAUACCUUGUAAGCGCGGGUCAUCAUCCCGCGCUGAAUACGUCCCUGCCCUUUGUACACACCGCCCGCCGCUCCUACCGAUUGAGUGGUCCGGUGAGGCUUUGGGAUCUGAGCAAAAAGAGCGUUUCGCUCGUUUGGCUCGGAAAACUCAGUCGAACCUUAUCAUUUAGAGGAAGGAGAAGUCGUAACA
rnacentral:rRNA from 1 species